GACCUGAAAGAUAGAGGGAGAAGCUGAACGGGAGAGAAGUGAAGGAAGGAGAGUGCAAAUAGAAUAUAUGAAGAUGUGGCUAAACAAUGAAAUAAAGAGAUGGGAUGAAGUAGAAGAAAAAUAGAGAGAAGAACAGGGAAACGGACAAAGGAGGGUUCAGAACGAACAGGAGAAAUAGAGGAGUAUGCGGAAAGAAAAUUAGAAAGGAGGUCAGGAGAAGAAAGGAGAUUGUAGAAGGUGGCGUUUUGAAAUUAUUUCAUUGACAAAGAUAGGGACUUUUGGGAGGGAAUAAACGAAUGGGAUAUAGUGAUUAUGUGUGAAACGUGGAUGGGUAAAAGGGAGUGGGAGGGUGUGAGAAGUAAGGCGAAGAAAGAAUACCUGUGGGAGGUAUAGUAUGCGGAAAGGAGAGGAAAGAAAGGAAGGGCGAUGGGGGGAAUGAUCAUAGGGGUAAGGAACGAAUUAAAAUGAUGAAAGUGGAAAGGGACGAGAAGGAAAAGGGAAUAGUAGCGAGGGAAAUAUGGCUAGGAAGAGAUGUAUGGAAUAUGAUAGGGAUGGAAAGACUGAAGGAAUGGAUGGACGAAAGGGAAAAGGGAGUAAGGGUUAUAAUUGAAGAAGAGACAAGAAGAUCGAAGGAUAAGAAAAUAGGUGAGCGAAAAAGACUGUGUCAAUUGUUGGGAGAGCUAGGGUGGGGGAUAAUGAACGGAGAUGUGAAAAGGGAUGAAGAGGGCGAAUUCAGGUGUACAGGAAAUGGAGAAUCGGUGAUUGUCUAUGUGAUUGGCAAUGAAGAGACUAGGAAAAGCGUGGAAAGGUUGGUCGUAGAGGAGAAAGUGGAGUCAGACCAUCAUCCAGUAGUAGUGUGGAUAGAGGGAGGAAAAGGGGAAGGUAGA